UACGAAGGGGGCUAGCGUUGCUCGGAAUCACUGGGCGUAAAGCGCACGUAGGCGGAUUGCUAAGUCAGGGGUGAAAUCCUGGAGCUCAACUCCAGAACUGCCCUUGAUACUGGCGGUCUCGAGUCCGGGAGAGGUGAGUGGAACUGUGAGUGUAGAGGUGAAAUUCGUAGAUAUUCGCAAGAACACCAGUGGCGAAGGCGGCUCACUGGCCCGGUACUGACGCUGAGACGCGAAAGCGUGGGGAGCAAACAGG
rnacentral:rRNA from 1 species